UCUUGAGUUUUGAGAGUUUAGAAUAAGAAUAAGAUAAGUGAUCUUAAGGUAGUGUAAGGAAGAUAACUUGAGCAUCUCAUCAUUAGAUUUAGGAGGUUUUAAUGCUUAAUUAUGUUUUUUUCUAACCUUAGUUCAUCUUUUUUAUUAGGGUUUGUAGCAAAGGAAGUGAUCAAAUCAUCUAAAGCCAAAGGAAAGAAGAAGAUUGAGGAGGAGGCCGUGAGUUCGAGUGCGCUGAAGUGUAUUAUCCUCUUAUUUUAAGGACUUUAAUGUAUGAAUGGUAAUGUCUAAUUGAAGAUUUAAUGGUGAGUUAUAAGUUAAUUUAUUA